rnacentral:lncRNA from 1 species
ACUUGGUGGCGGAGUUGGUGGUUCAUAGCUUAAUGACGGUGGUGGUGAAUACCCAGGUGGUGGUGGUGGACUGGAGUAUCUUGGUGGCGGAGUUAGUGAUAACGCUGGCGGUGGCGGUGGACUGGAGAAACUUGGUGGUGGACUUAGUGAUAAUGCUGGUGGUGGCGGUGGACUGGAGUAACCUGGUGGCGGAGUUGGUGAGCUUGGUGACGGUGGUGGAUACUCAGGUGGUGGCGGUGGACUGGAGUAACUUGGUGGAGGAGUUGGUGGCUCAUAGCUUACUGACGGUGGUGGCGGUGGACUGGAGUAACUUGGUGGUGGAGAUGGUGGCUCAUAGCUUAGUGACGGUGGUGGUGGUGGAUACUCAGGUGGCAGCGGCGGACUGGAGUAACUUGGUGGCGGUGUUGGUGGCUCUGAUGGUGGUGGCUCAUAGCUUGGUGACGGUGGUGGUGAAUACCCAGGUGGUGGCGGUGGACUGGAGUUACUUGGUGGCGGAGGCGGUGGGUCGUCCUUCACUAAGUGUGUUAGUCGAGCUGCACUGCCUGCAACAGAAGAUGUCACACACAGCACUAACAGCAGCAACCUGAUCAUAGAGAACGACUCCAUGAUUCGACACGGAAUGGUGUGAUGCCGCUCCUCCAAAUGAGCCACGGUUUUAUACUGCGUAACAC